CCAGGUGUGUGCCGGAACCUGAAGUCCAUCGUCGUGCAGGUGGGCAUUGUGGACUACUUCAAGGAGCCCCACAGCCCUGAAGCCAAGAAGAUGUUUGAAGAAAUGGUGAACAAACUCCAGGCCCUGAGGAAGAGACCCGGCUUCUCCAAGAUUUUACACAUCAAAGUGGAAGGAGGCUGUUAGACCUUCAGGGAAGCACAAAGCACAUUCCCUCCUCGGCCCGGCGGAGCCAGAAGCCCCGCGAAACCAAACCCACCAUCCGCCGCUCAUCCGCUGCCGGACCUGGAGCACGGAGACGCUGGUCCAUGCACAAAAAAAAAACAACAAAAACAAAAACCAACCCAAACUCUUGCAGGCCUUAGUGACUGGCAGCCGGCGCUCGUCCCCGGGGCCAGCUCGCGGGCGAGAAGGUGCUACUUAAGGAAAUUUUUCGGCUGCCCAAAGAGGCAGAGCUACGCUCUUUCCCGGAAUGGAAGAUGGCUUUGAACCCCCCACGGCUGCUCGUUGCCAAGGAUCCUUGUUUGGGGAAUAUCUUUUUAUUUUCUUCAAACUCUCUGGGGGGUUUUUUGGCCGUUGGAUGGUGUGGGAGAUAAGGAUGGCUCAGCCUGUCCCUGUGGGCUCUCUGCAGAGCGCUGGGCUCGGCGUCGCCGUGUGACCGUCCCCAUCCUCUCCGUGGGCUGGUGGAGGUGGGGUGGGAAGAGGCUGUUCCUCCAGAAGAAACAGUGCCCAGCCCUCCUGCAGGGUUUUCGCUCGUUUGCAUUUCAUUUGUUUUAACAGAGGGGCACCCAAGCCUGGGUAACUACCGCCCAGAAACCAGCAGCCACAACAGCACAAGCCCAGAUGGCAGAGCUGCAUCUCGGGGGGGCUGUAAGAGCCAGAAGGCACCAGGAGAGACAGUCGCUCUUCCAGAGGUUUCCAGCCUCACCUCCUCUCCACCCAAAACCUUCCUGCCAAGGCAAUAAAGCAUCUCCAAAAUCCUCGUCCACCAGGAAACACGGGUCAUGCUUCUGUCCUCACCACCAUCCACCACCCGCUCAGGCUUCUUCCGGAGCGAGCUGUCCCACGCCGAGAGGGACUGGCAUGGGACACCCACGUUUGCCAUCUCAUCGCCAUCCUGAGCAGCCUGAGGGAGAAACCCUGGCCAAACUGUCUUGAAAUCCAAAGCCGCUGGUAAAAGCACCAACCUAACUGCCCUGGUAGAUCCCUUCUCUAUGGCCAUGGCUGCUUUUUUAAUUCUGCUUUGUUUCUUCUGGCUGUCUUCUGCCUGCAAGACAUCAUCCCUCCCUGCCCCCCAAAAAAAAAACAACAACCACCCAACCUUCUUUUUUUCCAAAGGAAAAGGCUUUUGAAAGGCAUCCAGCAGGGUCAAGCGUCUCCACCCUGGGGAGAAGGUGCCAGGAGGUGCCCACGCCGUGGGGGACACCCAUCACAGCACUGCCAGCAGCAGGGACACACAGGCCUUAACGGCAGCCCCCUGCUACCCCCAAGCCCCACCCAGGUGUGCUUGGACCCAGCAGGCUCAGCUGAGAGGAACCGACUGGGAAAAGCAGAUUUUGGGGUUUUGGCCUCUUCUCUGGACCAUCAUUGGAAUGUUUGGGGGGCUGCUGGCCAGCGCAGCUGCAAGGUGACAGCCCUUCCUGGGGCAUCUCCCCUUCCUCCGGCCCUCCCGGAGUGAUGGGCUGCCACGGAGCAUCCCCCCGGGGGGAAGGAGGCUGCAGCCCUGUCCUGGUACCCCCUUCCUCACCUACGGCAUGAGAGCUACAGACCUCGGAGCUGUGGGCUCCCCACGUGCCGACAGCCCACGAGGGGACCCCGACAGAAAAAUCGAUUCCAAAUCACUGAAGUUGGAGGCAGCUCCUGGGUCUCCAACCCCAGAAAGCACCUCAGGAGACCAUUUCAUCCACCCCUCAUCCUGUCUACACUGUCUCCUCUGAAACAGGGUAGGGUUUUUUGGCCAUAACCCCCGUCUGAAGCACCUCUGUUCCUCUGUUGACUGCAGCUUUCCAGGAGAAGGCUGUUCCCUGUAUGCACAAAAUGGGGAAGCUCAAAAAAAAAAAAAAAAAAGCCUGCAAGAAACCACCAUGUCCCACCAUAACCCCCACAGGCACCGGGGCCGAGCUCCCCGCUGUGCCCACCGCGGGUUUACCUCCACCCCGGGGAGGCUGGGACACACGUAAUCCAGGGGCAAGAGGAGCAAGGGAUGCCCCGACCAGCAAAAAAAAAACACCCAGCAAAGGUAAACCGCCCCCCCGGGGACCACCCAGCCACCAUCUGUGGUCCCAGUGGAGAUGUCACCAUCUGAAACGGCGCAGAGACUUGCGAAAUUCCCUUAACAAAAAGAAAAACAAAGUAAGUAUUUAUUUCUAUAAAGAAAAGAAGGAAAAAAAAAAAAGAUUUUAAAGGAAAAUUAUAUACUCAGCAUGUUUAUACACUCUAUGCUUAAAGACUAUCGUGUUGGAGAGUCAUGUCCGAAGACUGAAGGUGGCUGCUCUGAGUUUGCUGCGUGCUCGUGCCCGGCCCCUCUGGGCCACGGGCAGAGCGAAAAUGGGGUGCUAGAAAGUGGGGGGAGAUGUUGAGGACUCUUGGAGAAACCUCCUGCACUCGCCAGCGAGGCCGGAGCGGCCGCUGGUGGCCACGGUGGCCUGGAGUGUGGGUGGGUGAGCGAUGUCCCCGUCCCCCCGCUGCUGCGAGGGUUUAAGUCACAGCAGGAUGAGCUCACCCGAAUUUGUUGCUUCGGGGUGUCACCAAGACCAAACCAUCUGCCUCCCCUUGGGGCGUUCCCAAAAAAACCCCGACUUCUGGCUUAGCAAAGUCAUGUUUUUAGAAAAAUCCCGUCAUGACAUGAGACCUUGAGAAGGUUCAAGGAGUGGAAGAUGAAAAGUGGGUUUUUUUUCCCCCCCGUUUUGCUUGAUGCCUGGGUUUGGACGGGUCCCUUCUUCCUCCUCCUCAGCUGGGGAUGAAGGAGGCUGGCACAGCCCUGGUGAUAACAAGAGCCCUGCGUCUCCCUGGCCCUAAUUGCUCAGGUUGUUAAUGGCAACGAGCUCAUUAACGGAUUCAUAUUCCACUGAAAUGUCACAUUGAUGGUUUCCCUGCUGCUCUCCCUCCCCAUCCUGCCAGUGCGUGGCCCCCGUUGGCUCCCCCACAAACCCCUAUCGCACAACCCCCAUCCCUACGGGGUGCUCGAGCCACGUUGCCUGUUGGCUGCAGGAUUCCCUGCCAGUGGUCACAGGGGUUCCAACCCCAUUUCCUCUGGAAACAAGAGAUGCACAGAAAUACCAAAUUCCCCAGGAACACCCUGAAAUCAUGCAGCGUAUGCGGGUGUUGGUAGGGAAGGGACAGCUGCAGUGGGAGCUCAAUCCCAUAUGAGACCCUAAAGAAGCCCAGGUUAGCUCCAUCCAAGGUUUUUAAACCUCUUUAUCAAGCAAGUGGCAAGAAAAAAAUAUCCCACCUCUCACUGUGUGUCACAGUCCCAGCUCCCACCCAAGGCACAGCCACAGCUGGGUAUUGGACAGUUUGUUUGGAUUUUCAAAAAGGCUCCAAAUUUGGUUAAAACAGACCAAAAAAAAAAAAAAACCCCACAAAAAGUGCUGAUAAAGGCUCUUAAAGCAGUUGAACAACAUUUUUCUCUCAGCUCUUAGAGGAGCCCACCCCAGGAGCUGGUGCAUGGCUUCAGCCACUUAUUUUGGGUUGAAAAGCUGCAGGUUGGGGUAGAGAAAAAGCAUUUGGGAAUUGGUGCCAAAUGACAAAAUGCUUUAAAAAAAAA